rnacentral:rRNA from 1 species
UGGGGAAUAUUGGACAAUGGGCGCAAGCCUGAUCCAGCCAUGCCGCGUGAGUGAUGAAGGCCUUAGGGUUGUAAAGCUCUUUAGCAGGGGAAGAUAAUGACGGUACCCUGAGAAUAAGCACCGGCUAACUUCGUGCCAGCAGCCGCGGUAAUACGAAGGGUGCUAGCGUUGUUCGGAAUCACUGGGCGUAAAGCGUGCGUAGGCGGCUUGACAAGUCUGACGUGAAAGCCCGGGGCUUAACCCCGGAUGUGCGUUGGAAACUGUCUUGCUGGAGGACGGAAGAGGAGAGUGGAAUUCCUAGUGUAGAGGUGAAAUUCGUAGAUAUUAGGAGGAACACCAGUGGCGAAGGCGACUCUCUGGUCCGUUUCUGACGCUGAGGCACGAAAGCGUGGGGAUCAAA